GACGAACCGUGCGAACGUUGUUCGGAAUCACUGGGCUUAAAGGGCGCGUAGGCGGCCGGGUUGGUCGUGGGUGAAAUCCCCCAGCUUAACUGGGGAACUGCCUACGAUACUGCCUGGCUCGAGGGAGGAAGGGGCGGUCGGAACUGUCGGUGGAGCGGUGAAAUGCGUUGAUAUCGACAGGAACGCCGGUGGCGAAAGCGGACCGCUGGCCCUCUUCUGACGCUGAGGCGCGAAAGCGUGGGGAGCGAACAGG
rnacentral:rRNA from 1 species